rnacentral:rRNA from 1 species
CCCUUAGAUGUUCUGGGCCGCACGCGCGCUACACUGAAGGAAUCAGCGUGGCUCUGUCCCUGGUCCGAAAGGAUUGGGAAACCCGUUGAAUCUCCUUCGUGAUAGGGAUUGGGGCUUGGAACUGUUCCCCAUGAACGAGGAAUUCCCAGUAAGCGCGAGUCAUAAGCUCGCGUUGAUUACGUCCCUGCCCUUUGUACACACCGCCCGUCGCUACUACCGAUUGAAUGGUCCGGUGAAAUCUCGGGACGGCGGCUUGGUCGCUUGCGUCCGACUGCUGAAACUUGAUUAAACCAUAUCAUUUAGAGGAAGGUGAAGUCGUAACA